rnacentral:rRNA from 1 species
AUUGAACGCUGGCGGCAUGCCUUACACAUGAAAGUCGAACGGUAACAGGUCUUCGGAUGCUGACGAGUGGCGAACGGGUGAGUAAUACAUCGGAACGUGCCCGAGAGUGGGGGAUAACGAAGCGAAAGCUUUGCUAAUACCGCAUACGAUCUCAGGAUGAAAGCAGGGGACCGCAAGGCCUUGCGCUCACGGAGCGGCCGAUGGCAGAUUAGGUAGUUGGUGGGAUAAAAGCUUACCAAGCCGACGAUCUGUAGCUGGUCUGAGAGGACGGCCAGCCACACUGGGACUGAGGCACGGCGCAGGCUCCUACGGGAGGGGGCGGUGGGGAAUUUUGGACAAUGGGCGCAAGCCUGAUCCAGCCAUGCCGCGUGCAGGAUGAAGGCCUUCGGGUUGUAAACUGCUUUUGUACGGAACGAAAAGACUCUGGUUAAUACCUGGGGUCCAUGACGGUACCGUAAGAAUAAGCACCGGCUAACUACGUGCCAGCCGCCGCGGUAAGAC